rnacentral:rRNA from 1 species
CAGUCGCCGCGGUAAUACAGAGGGUGCGAGCGUUAAUCGGAUUUACUGGGCGUAAAGCGUGCGUAGGCGGAUUUUUAAGUCGGAUGUGAAAUCCCUGAGCUUAACUUAGGAAUUGCAUUCGAUACUGGGAAGCUAGAGUAUGGGAGAGGAUGGUAGAAUUCCAGGUGUAGCGGUGAAAUGCGUAGAGAUCUGGAGGAAUACCGAUGGCGAAGGCAGCCAUCUGGCCUAAUACUGACGCUGAGGUACGAAAGCAUGGGGAGCAAACAGGAUUAGAUACCCCAGUAGUCCCUGUCUCUUAUAC